rnacentral:rRNA from 1 species
UACAGGGGGUGCAAACGUUGCUCGGAAUCAUUGGGCGUAAAGCGCACGUAGGCGGUCCGUUAUGUCGGACGUGAAAGCCCUUGGCUUAACUGAGGAAGUGCAUCCGAAACUGGCAGGCUAGAGUACUAAAGAGGGUCGCGGAAUUCCCGGUGUAGAGGUGAAAUUCGUAGAUAUCGGGAGGAACACCGGUGGCGAAGGCGGCGACCUGGGUAGAUACUGACGCUGAGGUGCGAAAGCGUGGGGAGCAAACAGG